rnacentral:rRNA from 1 species
CCUACGGGAGGCUGCAGUGGGGAAUAUUGGACAAUGGGCGAAAGCCUGAUCCAGCCAUGCCGCGUGUGUGAAGAAGGCCUUCGGGUUGUAAAGCACUUUCAGUGGGGAAGAAAGCCUUGGGGCUAAUACCCUCGAGGAAGGACAUCACCCACAGAAGAAGCACCGGCUAACUCCGUGCCAGCAGCCGCGGUAAUACGGAGGGUGCGAGCGUUAAUCGGAAUUACUGGGCGUAAAGCGCGCGUAGGCGGUCUGAUAAGCCGGUUGUGAAAGCCCCGGGCUCAACCUGGGAACGGCAUCCGGAACUGUCAGGCUAGAGUGCAGGAGAGGAAGGUAGAAUUCCCGGUGUAGCGGUGAAAUGCGUAGAGAUCGGGAGGAAUACUAGUGGCGAAGGCGGCCUUCUGGACUGACACUGACGCUGAGGUGCGAAAGCGUGGGUAGCAAACAGGAUUAGAUACCCCAUAGUC